rnacentral:lncRNA from 1 species
GAUCCUUCAGCGAGAGGUGUAGGGCGAGGAAUAUCUAUGACAUAGAGCUUGCGCUCUUGUUUGAGGACAAUCCUCAAAUUCCUUUGCCAGUCAAGGAAGUUGGUUCCUGUCAGCUUGUCCUUCUCAAGGACUGAUCGUACAGAGAAGUUGUUUGAAUUAUUUGCCAUUGGAUAUCUACAAUAUUUCAAAUGCAUAAGAUAAAUUAGUCUACAGAUGUUUAUUAAAUUAUGUUCAAGUGAUUAUAAAUAUAUAUUCAAAAUAUAUAUCUCCCACUAUUUUGUUCAAAUCAAUAGCCCUAACUAUUAAUUCGGAAAGCAUUUCUGCAAAUCUUUCUAGUGAGCCAAGAUCCAUAUUUCAUCCAUGUUUUAAGUUAGCGUGGGCUAAUACUCUCAAAACAUGACUAGAUUCUUGUUUAUCUCAUUCAUAUUGUAAUUUAUUACAAACUUAGAGUAGUAGUUGUUUAGAGAUUGAAAGAUCAGAUCAAUUUGGUGCUCAAGACCAAUCGGGGCACCCAAUUUUUUCAAGAUAAUCAAUAUACCCUAUCAUCUUCAGAACAUGCGGUCCUACCGGAUCACGUUCACCCUGCUUACAAGCAUUCAAAGAUUUGAAAGUAUCAAACCUCUCCUGACGAGCCUGUCCCUCAAACAUACGCUUAAGGUGCUCAAUCAUAUCAUAAGAAUCCAUAUUCUCAUGUUGUUUCUGAAGUUCAGCACUCAUGGUCGCUAACAUGAGACAUUGAACAUCCGUGUCAUCAUCGAUAUGCUUCUGAUAAGCAGUAUGCUGAGCACGGGUUGAUCCUUCAGCGAGAGGUGUAGGGCGAGGAAUAUCUAUGACAUAGAGCUUGCGCUCUUGUUUGAGGACAAUCCUCAAAUUCCUUUGCCAGUCAAGGAAGUUGGUUCCUGUCAGCUUGUCCUUCUCAAGGACUGAUCGUACAGAGAAGUUGUUUGAAUUAUUUGCCAUUGGAUAUCUACAAUAUUUCAAAUGCAUAAGAUAAAUUAGUCUACAGAUGUUUAUUAAAUUAUGUUCAAGUGAUUAUAAAUAUAUAUUCAAAAUAUAUAUCUCCCACUAUUUUGUUCAAAUCAAUAGCCCUAACUAUUAAUUCGGAAAGCAUUUCUGCAAAUCUUUCUAGUGAGCCAAGAUCCAUAUUUCAUCCAUGUUUUAAGUUAGCGUGGGCUAAUACUCUCAAAACAUGACUAUUUAGGUAGACAACAUUUGUCAAUUAUAUCAAAUAUAAUGAGAAUAGUUAUUGUUUAGAGAUUGCAAGAUCAGAUCAAUUUGGUGCUCAGGACCAAUCGGGGCACCCAAUUUUUCAAGAUAAUCAAUAUACCCUAUCAUCUUCAGAACAUGCGGUCCUACCGGAUCACGUUCACCCUGCUUACAAGCAUUCAAAGAUUUGAAAGUAUCAAACCUCUCCUGACGAGCCUGUCCCUCAAACAUACGCUUAAGGUGCUCAAUCAUAUCAUAAGAAUCCAUAUUCUCAUGUUGUUUCUGAAGUUCAGCACUCAUGGUCGCUAACAUGAGACAUUGAACAUCCGUGUCAUCAUCGAUAUGCUUCUGAUAAGCAGUAUGCUGAGCACGGGUUGAUCCUUCAGCGAGAGGUGUAGGGCGAGGAAUAUCUAUGACAUAGAGCUUGCGCUCUUGUUUGAGGACAAUCCUCAAAUUCCUUUGCCAGUCAAGGAAGUUGGUUCCUGUCAGCUUGUCCUUCUCAAGGACUGAUCGUACAGAGAAGUUGUUUGAAUUAUUUGCCAUUGGAUAUCUACAAUAUUUCAAAUGCAUAAGAUAAAUUAGUCUACAGAUGUUUAUUAAAUUAUGUUCAAGUGAUUAUAAAUAUAUAUUCAAAAUAUAUAUCUCCCACUAUUUUGUUCAAAUCAAUAGCCCUAACUAUUAAUUCGGAAAGCAUUUCUGCAAAUCUUUCUAGUGAGCCAAGAUCCAUAUUUCAUCCAUGUUUUAAGUUAGCGUGGGCUAAUACUCUCAAAACAUGACUAUUUAGGUAGACAACAUUUGUCAAUUAUAUCAAAUAUAACUCUUGGAUAGUUUGGUGGAGCAACCCUUUGCACAUAUUUAUGUAAUAAAUCUCACCAAACUCCAUGCCUCUAAACCCACAAUCCUAUUGUGAUGGUUUAGUUAAGUUAGACCCAAUAAUUCAAUAACUAAGUACAUUUACUUAUCACGUCUUCCCAUGAUUGAUUAAAGCACUUUGCUUUGGCAAACCUACUUCUUUCAAUCUAGAUCUUGACGAGUAUUAAUCAUUGGAAGGCAUCUGAUUAACUUAAUAUUUUAAUUAGGGAUUUUAUUAAAACGACCAUGAUCCUGUCAUAAAGAGAUCCUCAAUUUUUCCUUGAAUUAAAUAUUUCAAAUCAAUACUCUUUGAUUGGUUGAAAACCCGACCUGAGGUGUUGGCACAACGGCUAUACUUAAAAACCCCAAAUCCGACGGAAUCUUCCUCUCAUUGAAUAUCGAAAAUCCAUAAUUAAUUCCGUGUUUCAUAAACACGAGAAUCUCAUGAUCGUUGUAUUCUUUUUUAAAAUCUUGAGUCGUUACAGAUUUUAUCUUGUUUAAACAAGCAUGGCAUGGGUGUCGUAUCGAAUACAUACAUCUUAAUCUAAUUAAGCAUGCAUCUCUAUAACUACGCAUACAUAUCAUCAUCUCAUGCAUCAUAUAUGUAAAGUGCAGUAUGUAAACGUGCAUGGUUAUGGCCUUCAUCCUAUAUGAUCCUUUCAAGCUAAUGAAAGAAUCUAGGUCAAUCUAUGGUGAAAAUGUAUAACUGUUACAAGUCUUCAUUCUCUUUGAUUGCCCCUCCUUUUGGAUUGUCCUUCAAUCUUCAAGUACAUUACAAUGAAUAAUUGAAUACAACCUAUUCUAAUGUACUUACAUAAGAAAACUCGAGUUACAUUCGAGAUUAAAAUUAUAAGAAUGAAGAGCACGACAUGCAAGUCGUAUUUAUACAACCAAAACCACAAAACUUUAAACUAAGGGUCUUAAGGUCAUAACCAGCAUCAUGCUCAAGUAAGAACACAUAAUCAUACAAAGCGGGGGUCCAGGGGCGGCAGCCACCGGGCGGGGUCCGGGGGCGGCAGCCCCAGGCGGGGUUCGAUUUUUGGUUAGCUGAACCGAAUGCACACACCUACUUACAGAUGGGCAAUCCCUAAAGGAUCAUUUUGUUCUGUGAAGUUGAUUUCAACAAGCCUUAUAAAGGUCAAAAAGAUGUUGGGCAGUACGACAGGUACGACUCUAGUGACCUUUCAUUCCACGCCAAUUACAAGUACUCUCAACCCUUUUAGCCACUGUAUUAUCUUUAGAUUUCCCCUCAUUUUUCAUCCAAUUCUGGUGGUGAUGUCCUCUUUUAGAGUUUGACGGGUUUUGGUAACUAUGACCUCGAUCAUGCCUAAAACCACGUCCACGGGCAUGUCAAUGACCACGCCCACAUCCCCAUCCACGUCUAAAUUGCUUACUUGGGCCAUGAUCAUUACUAGUUACUGUUGGGUUUCGGGGCAAUAAAACGCAGCGAAAAGUAACGUAAAAUCAAAAAUUUCCGAAACCCUAACCGCAGGAUCCAUCUAUAAUGCAUGGUUGAUUAUGGAGAUACGAAAUAAUACCUUGUUGAAGCUUUACGUUAGCGAAAGAUGCAGGUCCGGAAUAAGCAAUCACCACGCAGCCCUCGGUCUAAGGAUCGCGUCUCUAAACAGUCCACACGAACGCCUGAUCGCCUAAUGAUCACCGGAGCCGGUACUAGCUGAAAUCAACCUCUCUCUCUCUCUAGCCUCUCUUGAUAUAGAACUGCUAGGGUUUUAUAAAACGAAUUUUAUAACACUUAACCCUAAAACAAUACAUCAUUAUGUAUUUAUAGGGAAGGGAGAGAGAUGGGCCUAACCCUAAUCGGUUUUGGGCUUCUCCAAAUCCAAUCCGAUUUAGGUUUUAAUAUUAAAUUCGAAAUCCUGAUUAUUUAAUUAAGACCGGCUCAACUAAACAAUUUAUUUCGAAUUUAAUCAUUUAAUUUAAAUUCAGAAUUUAAAUUAAAAACUCCUUUAAACGUUCUAAGUGUGUGACCCUUUAGGUUAUUAUUACGUUGGCAAUAAUUUUAAUAUCCCAUAAUAAAAUUAUAAACAAUGAGCGGCAUCUAGUAAUACAUCAUUGCUACCCAAGUAAUAAUAAUAAUUAGUGAUUCAAUUAAACCUUUUUGUGAAUAAUGUACAAUGUAAUAUAAUCCUUUUAACCUUAUAUUAUAGAUCAAACGCGAGGCAUGCAUAGUGUCAUCCUCUUCAACGUUUAAUCCGAAUUUCCUUGAUCAAUGAGUAGACUAUUAAACAAAUCAAUAUUUGAGCACGGCCAUGCAUUUCAUAGUCUCACUCAAUCAAGAGGCCAAUAAUAUCACUCCUAAAAUAGGAGGGUUAAAUCCUUUCUAGAUCAUUCAUAUUUCUCAUACGAUUCAUAAU